AGGACGAACGCUGGCGGCGCGCUUAACACAUGCAAGUCAAACGGGUGUCCUUCGGGGCAUCAGUGGCGGACGGGUGCGUAACACGUAAGCGACCUGCCUUCAGGUGGGGGAUAACCCCGGGAAACCGGGGCUAAUACCGCAUGUGCUCUUGGGGCUGCAUGGCUUUGAGAGGAAAGCUCCCUUAAAGGAGCGCUUGAAGAGGGGCUUGCGGCGUAUCAGCUAGUUGGCGAGGUAACGGCUCACCAAGGCAAUGACGCGUAGGGGGUCUGAGAGGACGGCCCCCACAUUGGGACUGAGAUACGGCCCAGACUCCUACGGGAGGCAGCAGUGGGGAAUCUUGCGCAAUGGACCGAAAGGC
rnacentral:rRNA from 1 species